UGAUGUCACGCCAUGUUUGAUGUCACGCUGGUUGCAUGUGACGUCACAACGAUUCCAUGGGUGGCGUCACGCCAAUGCCAUGUUUGACGUCACGCCAGUUCCAUGUUUGGCGUCACGCCAAUGCCAUGUUUGACGUCACGCCAGUUCCAUGUUCGGCGUCACGCCAACGCCAUGUUCGACGUCACGCUGGUUGCAUAUGAUGUCAUGCCGGUUCCGUGUUCGAUGUCACGCCGGUUGCGUGUGACAUCACGACGAUUCUGUGUGCGGUGUCACGCCAGUGCCAUGUUUGCCGUCACACCAAUGCCGUGUUCGAUGUCACACCAGUUCCAUGUUUGGUGUCACACCAAUGCCGUGUUCGAUGUCACGCCAGUUCCGUGUGACGUCACGCCGAUGCCAUGUUUGACAUCACACCAGUUCCAUGUUUGGUGUCACGCCAAUGCCGUGUUUGAUGUCACACCGGUUGCGUGUGACGUCACGCUGGUUGCAUGUGACAUCACGAUGAUGCCGUGUGAUGUCAUGCCAAUGCCGUGUUCGAUGUCACGCUAGUUCCGUGUUCGCGUCACACCAGUUCUGUGUGAUGUCAUAACAAUUCCGUGUUCAGCGUCACGCCGGUUCCAUGUGGCGUCAUGACGAUUCCGUGUGCAGCGUCACGCCAAUGCCAUGUUUGACGUCACGCCAGUCCCAUGUUCGGCGUCACACCGGUGGCGUGUGACAUCACAACGAUGCCGUGUGCGGCGUCACGCCGUUCGCGUGCUCGGCGUCACGCCAACUCCGUGGCCGCAGGCCUUUCCGCGUCCCUCGUGGUGUCCCCGGAUGUUUCCGUGUCCCCGGAAGUUUCCACGUCUCUGGAAGUUUCCGUGUUUCUGGAAGUUUCCACCUCUCCAGAAGUUUCUGCAUCUCUGGAAGUUUCCCUGUUUCCGGAUGUUUCCGCAUCCUUAGAUGUUUCCACUUCCCCAGAAAGUUCCGUGUUGCCGGACGUUUCCGCCGCCCCGGAACUUUCUGCGUUUCCGGGUGUUUCCUCCUCCCUGGAAGCCUCCAUUUUUCCAGACGUUUCUGUUUUUCCGGACGUUUCCGUAUCCUUAGACGUUUCCGUCUUGCCAGGCGUUUCCGUUUUUCCAGACGUUUCCGCAUCCUUAGACGUUUCCGUGUUGCCAGGCGUUUCCGCCUCCCCAGAAGGCUCCGUGUUGCCAGAAGUUUCCGCCUCUCCGGAAGUUUCUGCGUUUCUGGGUGUUUCUGCCUCUCUGGACGUUUCCGUUUCUCCGGAUGUUUCCGUUUUUCCAGAUGUUUCCGUGUUUCCGUGUGGCUUGCGGCGCAGCAGGGCCCGGUAGCGAGCACCGGCGGCUGCGACGGCUCCCUGCAGCUGCGCCAGCUCCACAGCCAGCGAGACGCCUGCGUUCCGGGCGGAAAAAAGCCAGUUUGGGGAAAAACGGGGCAAUUUUGGGGGCGCCGCGGCCGGGCUUGGGUGUUUCCUUUCGGUGCUUUCCCGCGUCCCCCUAAUUCGGUAUUUUUUCCCCCAAAUUUUGUUUUUUUCCCCCCUAGUUUUGGGUAUUUCCCUCCAAUUUCGGGUUUUUCCCUCCAAUUUUGAGUUUUUUCCCCCCCAAUUUGGAUUUUUUUCCCCCAGUUUCAAUUUUUUCCCACUUUUGAUUUUUUCCCCUUAUUCUGGGGCUUUUUUUUUUCUUUUUUGGGUUCAUAUUCUAUAAUUUGAGCCCAUUUUGGGGUGUCUUUGCCUGUUUUAGGGCGUUCCCUAUUACUUGAACUCAUUUUGGGCAGGUUUCUAUCUAUUUUGGGUGUUUUCCUCCCCUUCCUUAAAACUUUUUUGGGGACAUUUCUCCAUUUUGGGGGGGGUUGUCUUUUUUUUGGUGCUAAUUUGAGGUCGUUUCUCCAUUUUGGGGUGUUUUCAUUCAAUUUGGGGUGUUUUCUGCUCUUACUUGGCCCUUUAGGAAGGUGUUUUUCCCCUUUUUGGCAUUUUCUCGCCCCAUAAUUCAACCCCAUUUUGGGGUGGUUUUGCCCAUUUUUGUGUGUUCCCUGUUUGUUACUUGAUCCCAUUUUGAGCAGAUUUUUGUCCGUUUUGGGCUGUUUCCCCUCAUUCUUUGAUAUUUAUUUUACAAUUUGUCCCCUUUUUGGGGUGUUUUUGCCUGAUUUUUGGUACUAAUUUGGGGUCUUUUCUCCAUUUUGGGGUGUUUUCACUUGCUUUGACAUGUUUUCUACCAUUACUUAGCUCCUUUUUUGGGGUGUUUUCCCUUUUUUGGUAGCUUUUUUUCACUUUUUGGGGGUGUUUUCACCCCAUUUUGGUGCCUCUCCC
rnacentral:lncRNA from 1 species